rnacentral:lncRNA from 13 species
AUUUGGGUUGAUUCUGUGUCUUUACUAUGGUAAAUAGUGCUGCAGUGAACAUAUACGUGCAUGUAUCUUUGUAAUAGAAUGAUUUAUAAUCCUUUGGGUAUAUAUCCAGUAAUGAGAUUGCUGAGCCAAAUGGUAUUUCUGGUUUUAGAUCUUUGAGGAAUCACCACACUGUCUUCCACAAUGGUUUAACUAGUUUACAUUCCACAAACAGUGUAAAGCAUUCCUAUUUCUCCACAACCUCACCAGCAUCUGUUGUUUCCUGACUUUUUAAUAAUUGCCAUUCUGACUGACUUAAGAUGGUAUCUCAUUAUGGUUUUGCUUUGCAUUUCUCUAGUGAUCAGUGAUGCUGAGCAGAAACCCUACAAGCCAGAAGAGACUGGGGUCAAGAUCCACUGGUGGGCCAUUUAUUCUCCAUGGGAGCUAGAGGCCAACUGCUCCUCUGCUGCCUCCAAUCUAGAGCUGCUCCAGAAAGUAUCAGCCCUCCUCCAUUGCCACUGGAUCCCAUUGGGACACCAGGGGACAGAGGGAUGACAGAACAG